rnacentral:rRNA from 1 species
UACGUAGGGUGCAAGCGUUGUCCGGAAUUAUUGGGCGUAAAGAGCUCGUAGGCGGUCUGUCGCGUCGGAUGUGAAAAUCCAGGGCUCAACCCUGGACCUGCAUUCGAUACGGGCAGACUAGAGUUCGGUAGGGGAGACUGGAAUUCCUGGUGUAGCGGUGAAAUGCGCAGAUAUCAGGAAGAACACCAAUGGCGAAAGCAGCUCUCUGGGACGGUACUGACACUGAGACGCGAAAGCGUGGGGAGCGAACAGG